rnacentral:rRNA from 1 species
AUUGAACGCUGGCGGCAUGCCUUACACAUGCAAGUCGAACGGCAGCACGGGAGCAAUCCUGGUGGCGAGUGGCGAACGGGUGAGUAAAGUAUCGGAACGUGCCCAGUCGUGGGGGAUAACGUAGCGAAAGUUACGCUAAUACCGCAUACGAUCUAUGGAUGAAAGCGGGGGAUCGCAAGACCUCGCGCGAUUGGAGCGGCCGAUAUCAGAUUAGGUAGUUGGUGGGGUAAAGGCUCACCAAGCCGAAGAUCUGUAGCUGGUCUGAGAGGACGACCAGCAACACUGGGACUGAGACACGGCCCAGACUCCUACGGGAGGCAGCAGUGGGGAAUUUUGGACAAUGGGCGAAAGCCUGAUCCAGCCAUGCCGCGUGCAGGAUGAAGGCCUUCGGGUUGUAAACUGCUUUUGUACGGAACGAAAAGGUUUGGGCUAAUAAGCUGAGCUCAUGACGGUACCGUAAGAGUAAGCACCGGCUAACUACGUGCCAGCAGCCGCCGUAACAC